UCGAGAGUUUGAUCCUGGCUCAGGAUGAACGCUAGCGGCAGGCUUAACACAUGCAAGUCGAGGGGUAUAGUUCUUCGGAGCUAGGGACCGGCGCACGGGUGCGUAACGCGUAUGCAAUCUACCUUUUACAGAGGGAUAGCCCAGAGAAAUUUGGAUUAAUGCCCCAUAGUGUUAUUGAAUCGCAUGGUUUAAUAACUAAAGUUCCAACGGUAUAAGAUGAGCAUGCGUCCCAUUAGUUAGUUGGUAAGGUAACGGCUUACCAAGACGAUGAUGGGUAGGGGUCCUGAGAGGGAGAUCCCCCACACUGGUACUGAGACACGGACCAGACUCCUACGGGAGCAGCAGUGAGGAAUAUUGGUCAAUGGGCGCAAGCCUGAACCAGCCAUGCCCGCGUGCAGGAAGACGG
rnacentral:rRNA from 1 species